rnacentral:rRNA from 1 species
UACAGAGGGGGCAAGCGUUGUUCGGAAUUACUGGGCGUAAAGGGCGCGUAGGCGGCCUGCUAAGUCGAACGUGAAAUCCCUGGGCUCAACCCAGGAACUGCGUCCGAUACUGGUUGGCUUGAAUCCGGGAGAGGGAUGUGGAAUUCCAGGUGUAGCGGUGAAAUGCGUAGAUAUCUGGAGGAACACCGGUGGCGAAGGCGGCGUCCUGGACCAACACUGACACUGAGGAGCGAAAGCCAGGGGAGCAAACGGG